AGCCCCAACCAAGGCGGCGACGCAGCCAGAGCGGUAGAGAUGCGCAUAAUCGUUCACUGAGUUGAAAAGAGUGAUUCAUAUCUUUCGCUCGCGGUGAUAUAUAUCACUCAUUUAGCUCAUUUAGCUCAUUUCGCUCAGUAGAUCUGUAGAUUAAAUAGUGAGUAGAGAGAGAUGUCAAUCAAUCAGAUUGAUUGAAUUGUUUGGUUUGAUUUGUAUUACCUACGCACUUGAUCGUUAAAAAAUAUGCAUUAUUAGUGUUAUAUAAGCUAUACUAUACAUACAUUUACUACAAUAUACAUAUUAAGCAGAUUUUCCUUCAUACUUGGACAGGCUUAGGACUGUCAAUCUAGAUUUUUUAGGUUAAUAAUAAAACGAGGGAAAAACAAAGUUUCUCCUAAACGUACCUCAUAUUAAACAUAAACCCCUCUAAUCUAGAUUGGCAAUUAUGAUGAAAAUCUGAUACUAUAUAGUGUACAUUUCAUAAAAAUAUUAGACUAUCAUUACAUUAAUUACACUACCUAAGCCCGUCAAUUAAAUCUUAAACUAAAAUUGGUCAACAAACGACAGCCGUAGUCUGCUCUCUCGACAUCCAACAGUACUCUGUACAUAAAAGUGCGUAAAUGGGAUGGUUAUAUAAUACGCACAGCCAUAAGUGCGACGAAGAAAGCAAAUCACACGGUACGGAUCCCGCCAUGUUUUCCCGGCACCCUCCGAAUUCAUCCGAAACGCUCCGAAACCGUCACUCCGCAUCGUCUCACUCGUUUGGCUGGGCCCGCUCAUUCGAUCAUGAGUGGGAAAGAGCGAGCAAGUAACACCGAUAUAAAAGAGUUACUGAGCGAAAUGAGCUAGUCAAAUCUGUACUGAGUUGAAGAGUGAGCUAGUUCAAUCAAAAGAUACAGUUCAUUUGAAUCACUCGCUCGCGAACGACACAUGUCUACAGAGCGGGCAAGAGCGGCUCCGCGGGCUCUUCUUCCACGCUGAGAAGUCCUCGCCAAGUUGGCACGUACAGUCAGAGCUGCCGCUGCAAUGACGCCUUCAUGGCAGUUACCAGUGCUAAGGACGUGCACUGCUGGCUUACUUGACCAGAAGAGACAAUACUUUAAACGUUAGUAUUGAUUCAAACCGUGAAGUGAAAUUGUGGACAGGUUUGCCCGAAUCAGUGUAACCUCAGUGAAUUCAUUUACUUCAUAGACUUCAAACAUUUUCGAAAUUAACAAAAGUCAAGCGGACAUUGAAUACAUAGAUAAGAUGCAUUAGAUAAGAUAAAAGCUGCCUGUGAAACCAAAACUAAUAAAUCAUAUUGUUACUUAA